rnacentral:misc_RNA from 1 species
AUUUUCUUGUAAUUCCUUUUCAUUUUCCGGCGACCAAGUUAAGUUCCCAUGGAGACCGGCGGCAAGUUGAAGAAGGGAGCAGGAGGAAGAAAGGGCGGCGGCCCGAAGAAGAAGCCCGUUUCUCGCUCCGUUAAGGCCGGUCUCCAGUUCCCCGUCGGUAGGAUCGGUCGAUACUUGAAGAAUGGCCGGUAUGCUCGACGUGUUGGUACUGGAGCUCCGGUCUACUUGGCCGCCGUUCUUGAGUAUCUCGCCGCUGAGGUGUUGGAAUUGGCUGGAAAUGCAGCCAGAGAUAACAAGAAGAACAGAAUA